rnacentral:miRNA from 1 species
AAGUGAUAUUUUGGAACAGAAUCUAGUUCCUUCAAUACCAAUGUAUUCCUUCAAUGUAUUCAUAUUACUAGAAUACAUUGGUAUUGAAGGAACUAGAUUCUGUUCCGAAAUAUCACU